AUCAGCAUGUUACGGUGAAUACGUUCCCGGGCCUUGUACACACCGCCCGUCACACCAUGGGAGUGGGUUGCAAAAGAAGUGGGUAGCAUAACCUUCGGGAGUGCGCUCACCACUUUGUGAUUCAUGACUGGGGUGAAGUCGUAACAAGGUAGCCGUAGGGGAACCUGCGGCUGGAUCACCUCCUUAAA
rnacentral:rRNA from 1 species